rnacentral:rRNA from 1 species
CAGUCGCCGCGGUAAUACGAAGGGGGCUAGCGUUGUUCGGAUUUACUGGGCGUAAAGGGCGCGUAGGCGGGCGAAUAAGUCAGGGGUGAAAUCCCAAGGCUCAACCUUGGAACUGCCUUUGAUACUGUUUGUCUUGAGUUCGAGAGAGGUAAGUGGAACUGCGAGUGUAGAGGUGAAAUUCGUAGAUAUUCGCAAGAACACCAGUGGCGAAGGCGGCUUACUGGCUCGAAACUGACGCUGAGGCGCGAAAGCGUGGGGAGCAAACAGGAUUAGAUACCCGCGUAGUCCCUGUCUCUUAUAC